rnacentral:tRNA from 2 species
UGGUGUAGCUCAGUUGGUAGAGCAGCGCAUUCGUAAUGCGCAGGUCGCAGGUUCAAGUCCCGUCACC